ACUCUUGCUCUUCUCUCCCUUCUUCCUCUUCCCAAAUAGGGAUGUCAAUGGAUAAAGAUAUCCGAAACUUUUUUCGAAUCCGAACCUAAAUCUGAAUAGGGCAGAUUUAUCCGAUGCUAAACGGAUAUAGUUUCGAAUACAGAUACAAAAAAUAAAAAACACUGCAGAUUUGAAUUUGAGUAUGGAUUUUAUCUUUGCGCCCGACACAAAACCGAAUUGAUUUUAGUUUUAUAGAAUAUAAUAUGAAUAUUUGAUAUUCUAUUUAAAUUUAUAUUUUAACUAAUAUUUUUGAUUUAAUAUAAUAUGUUUUGAAAUAUAGUACAUAAAAAUAGUUAUUCGGGUUCGGAUUUGGAACGUUCUUGAUUU
rnacentral:lncRNA from 1 species